ACGGCCACGUCACGUUAAAACACCAAUUCCCGUAAGAUCACCGACGUUAAGCAACGUCGAGCCUGGUCAGUAGCUAGAUGGGUGAUCAUUUGACCAUACCAAGUACCGCAA